UCGGCUAAUUUUUGUAUUUUUAGUAGAAACGGGGUUUUACCAUGUUGGUUAGCCAGGCUGGUCUUGAACUCAGGUGAUCUGCCUGCCUUGGCCUCCCGUAAUGGUGGGAUUACUGGCUUGAGCCAUGUCCAGCCAAAGCCUCGUGUUCUGAACUUUGUUGAGGUCUGCCUGAAUGAGCUUUCCUCUGAUCGUGGGGACCAAGUCCCUGAGUGGAGGGCCAAGAGCUAGGAAUAGGGGAUCAGUGUGUGGAGGAGACCCAGAAUGGUCUCCAGGGAGGAAGGAA